GACGAACGCUGGCGGCGUGCUUAACACAUGCAAGUCGAACGGUAAGGCCCCAGCUUGCUGGGGUACACGAGUGGCGAACGGGUGAGUAACACGUGGGUGACCUGCCCUGCACUUCGGGAUAAGCCUGGGAAACUGGGUCUAAUACCGGAUAGGACCAUGGUGUGGAUACUGUGGUGGAAAGUUUUUUCGGUGUGGGAUGGGUCCGCGGCCUAUCAGCUUGUUGGUGGGGUAUUGGCCUACCAAGGCGGCGACGGGUAGCCGGCCUGAGAGGGUGGACGGCCACAUUGGGACUGAGACACGGCCCAGACUCCUACGGGAGGCAGCAGUGGGGAAUAUUGCACAAUGGGCGGAAGCCUGAUGCAGCGACGCCGCGUGGGGGAUGACGGCCUUCGGGUUGUAAACUCCUUUCACCAUCGACGAAGGGUUUCUGACGGUAGAUGGAGAAGAAGCACCGGCUAACUACGUG
rnacentral:rRNA from 1 species